UGGGGGUGAUUUUUUCAAAACAUGUUGCUUAGAUAGACUAGGGUUAUAACCAACUGAAUCUACUUCUUGAACUCGAUGCUCUUAAUGAGAUAGUUCUCGAUUCGAUUAUCAAACUUCCACAGGUCCUUUUCCUUCGAUCAGCCAAAUAACAUUUUUGCCUUUCAAGUGAACUAAGAAUUCUGUCUUUAGUAUUUUUCUUGCUUCUUCCUAUCUCUUUUAUAUCUCCAUCAAAC
rnacentral:lncRNA from 1 species